rnacentral:rRNA from 1 species
CAUGCAAGUCGAACGAUGAAACUUAAAUGAUUUCUUCGGAAUGAACUUAAGUGGAUUAGUGGCGGACGGGUGAGUAACGCGUGAGUAACCUGCCUUACGCAAGGGGAUAGCCGUUGGAAACGACGAAUAAUACCCUAUGAAACUAUCACUUCGCAUGAAGCGAUAGUCAAAGUGUUAGCGGUGUAAGAUGGACUUGCGUCUGAUUAGCUAGUUGGUGAGAAAAAAGCCCACCAAGGCAACGAUCAGUAGCCGGCUUGAGAGAGUGUACGGCCACAUUGGGACUGAGACACGGCCCAGACUCCUACGGGAGGCAGCAGUGGGGAAUUUUGCACAAUGGGGGAAACCCUGAUGCAGCGACGCCGCGUGAUUUAGAAGGCCUUCGGGUUGUAAAAAUCUUUUGUAUAGGAAGAAAAUGACAGUACUAUACGAAUAAGGUCCGGCUAAUUACGUGCCAGCAGCCGCGGUAAUACGUAAGGACCGAGCGUUGUCCGGAAUCAUUGGGCGUAAAGGGUACGUAGGCGGGUCAUUAAGUUAGAAGUCAAAGGCUAUAGCUCAACUAUAGUAAGCUUCUAAAACUGGCGACCUUGAGUAAUGGAAGGGAAAGUGGAAUUCCUAGUGUAGCGGUGGAAUGCGCAGA